rnacentral:rRNA from 1 species
ACGGAGAGUUUGAUCCUGGCUCAGGACGAACGCUGGCGGCGUGCCUAACACAUGCAAGUCAAGGGGUGCAGAGGUUAUCCUCUGCUGCCACUGGCGCACGGGUGAGUAACGCGUAGGUAACCUACCCUCAGCCCUGUCAUAACCCUGGGAAACUGGGGCUAAUAACAGAUGAGGUCAGGGUGGGGAAGAUCCCCCUGAUCAAAGGGGCAACCCGGCUGAGGAUGGGCCUGCGUCCUAUCAGGUAGUUGGUGAGGUAAUGGCUCACCAAGCCGACGACGGGUAGCUGGCCUGAGAGGGUGGUCAGCCACACCGGCACUGAGACACGGGCCGGACUCCUACGGGAGGCAGCAGUGGGGAAUCUUGCACAAUGGGCGAAGAGCCUGAUG